UUAAAGACGACGAGUGAAGCACCAAAACAUAUAGAAAAAGCAUAAGAGAACUUGCGACGUCUGGUGGUGUAAUUUUUGAAUACUAUCUAAGAGUUUUGAGAAAAUUAAGUUUGGUGAUAUAGUUAGAAGGAAGUUAAACCGUAAGAUGGCAAUUGAAAAUGGAUGAUUGUAUGGUUGACGAUAACAACAAGAAAGGGAAAUGUGUGACCACACAGCUUGUGAUCUCAGUGUACCAAUGGAUUAAGAAACAAGCCUCGUGCCCUUCCAAUCUUUUCCUUUUUUAUUCCUUUAUACCAUUGUCUUUCUUUUUCCAAUAAUAUUAUCAGUUUAUAUUGAAUUUGCAAAAAGUAAAGCCCACGAAACCUUUCCAACUUUAA